rnacentral:rRNA from 1 species
GACGAACGCUGGCGGCGUGCCUAAUACAUGCAAGUCGAGCGGACAGAAGGGAGCUUGCUCCCGGAAGUUAGCGGCGGACGGGUGAGUAACACGUGGGCAACCUACCCUGUAGAUCGGGAUAACAUCGAGAAAUCGGUGCUAAUACCGGAUAAUCAUUUGAAGUGCAUGCUUCGAAUGUAAAAGAUGGCUCCGGCUAUCACUACGGGAUGGGCCCGCGGCGCAUUAGCUAGUUGGUAAGGUAAUGGCUUACCAAGGCAACGAUGCGUAGCCGACCUGGGAGGGUGAUCGGCCACACUGGGACUGAGACACGGCCCAGACUCCUACGGGAGGCAGCAGUAGGGAAUCUUCCGCAAUGGACGAAAGUCUGACGGAGCAACGCCGCGUGAGUGAUGUAGGUUUUCGGAUCGUAAUGCUCUGUUGUUAGGGAAGAACAAGUGCCGUUUGAAUAAGGCGGCACCUUGACGGUACCUAACCAGAAAGCCACGGCUAACUACGUGCCAGCAGCCGCAGUAACAC